GGCUCGGUGGUGUAGUUGGUUAUCACGUCAGUCUAACAAGGCAUCGCUUCGCAGCGUGUCUAGCCGCACUGAAGGUCCCGAGUUCAAGCCUCGGCUGAGUCA